rnacentral:rRNA from 1 species
UACGAAGGGGGCUAGCGUUGUUCGGAAUCACUGGGCGUAAAGCGCACGUAGGCGGAUCGUUAAGUCGGGGGUGAAAUCCUGGAGCUCAACUCCAGAACUGCCUUCGAUACUGGCGAUCUUGAGUCCGGAAGAGGUGAGUGGAACUCCUAGUGUAGAGGUGGAAUUCGUAUAUAUUAGGAAGAACACCAGUGGCGAAGGCGGCUCACUGGUCCGGUACUGACGCUGAGGUGCGAAAGCGUGGGGAGCGAACAGG